rnacentral:rRNA from 1 species
AUUGAACGCUGGCGGCAGGCCUAACACAUGCAAGUCGAGCGGAUGAAGGGAGCUUGCUCCUGGAUUCAGCGGCGGACGGGUGAGUAAUGCCUAGGAAUCUGCCUGGUAGUGGGGGAUAACGUCCGGAAACGGGCGCUAAUACCGCAUACGUCCUGAGGGAGAAAGUGGGGGAUCUUCGGACCUCACGCUAUCAGAUGAGCCUAGGUCGGAUUAGCUAGUUGGUGGGGUAAAGGCCUACCAAGGCGACGAUCCGUAACUGGUCUGAGAGGAUGAUCAGUCGCACUGGAAGUGGGACGGCCUCCAGGCGACUAAGGUAGGGAGCAGUGUGGUAUGGUGGGCAGUGGGGGAGAGCAUGGUCCAGUCGUGCGGCGCGUGUGGAGAAGGUCUCGGGAUCGGAAAGCCGGUUUAGUUGUGGGGAACCGCUUUAGCCUGUGACGAUGCUUUAUUGACGGUACCGGCUAAAUAAGCACCGGCUAACUACGUG